rnacentral:rRNA from 1 species
GACGAACGCUGGCGGCGUGCUUAACACAUGCAAGUCGAACGAAGUGGCGAACGGGUGAGUAACGCGUAAUCAACCUGCCCUUCAGAGGGGGACAACAGUUGGAAACGACUGCUAAUACCGCAUACUGAAUGAGGGGUUUGCGUGUGAUUAGCUAGUUGGAGGGGGAACGGCCCACCAAGGGGAUGAUCAGUAGCCGGUGUGAGAGGAUGAACGGCCAAAUUGGGACUGGGAAAAGGCCCAGACUCCUGCGGGGAGCAGCAGUGGGGAAUCUUCCGCAAUGGACGAAAGUCUGACGGAGCAACGCCGCGUGAGUGAUGACGGCCUUCGGGUUGUAAAGCUCUGUUAAUCGGGACGCGGUACCGGAAUAGAAAGCCACGGCUAACUACGUGCCAGCAGCCGCGGUAAUUC